AUGAGGACGUGCCUCUUUCUGGUGGCCUUGCUGACGCUCUUCUCUUGGGCGAUGGCGGGGCCCUGCCUCUCAAGGCAGAGGGUCAUGACUCCACAGGGGUCGUACCACUCCUCCGGUUCUGGCGUCAGCUCACCAGCUUGCUCAAGCUCCGGGUCAUCGAAGGGAUCACCCAAGUCGUCGUUCAGCGCCAAGAGUCGUGGCUAAAGCUUCCGUGUGACUCGGCACUUCAUACCAUGUCCUCAAUAAACAAAAUCUUCUAGGUGAAA